rnacentral:rRNA from 1 species
AGAGUUUGAUCCUGGCUCAGGACGAACGCUGGCGGCGUGCCUAAUACAUGCAAGUCGAGCGAGCUUGCCUAGAUGAUUUUAGUGCUUGCACUAAAUGAAACUAGAUACAAGCGAGCGGCGGACGGGUGAGUAACACGUGGGUAACCUGCCCAAGAGACUGGGAUAACACCUGGAAACAGAUGCUAAUACCGGAUAACAACACUAGACGCAUGUCUAGAGUUUGAAAGAUGGUUCUGCUAUCACUCUUGGAUGGACCUGCGGUGCAUUAGCUAGUUGGUAAGGUAACGGCUUACCAAGGCAAUGAUGCAUAGCCGAGUUGAGAGACUGAUCGGCCACAUUGGGACUGAGACACGGCCCAAACUCCUACGGGAGGCAGCAGUAGGGAAUCUUCCACAAUGGACGAAAGUCUGAUGGAGCAACGCCGCGUGAGUGAAGAAGGGUUUCGGCUCGUAAAGCUCUGUUGGUAGUGAAGAAAGAUAGAGGUAGUAACUGGCCUUUAUUUGACGGUAAUUACUUAGAAAGUCACGGCUAACUACGUGCCAGCAGCCGCGGUAAUACGUAGGUGGCAAGCGUUGUCCGGAUUUAUUGGGCGUAAAGCGAGUGCAGGCGGUUCAAUAAGUCUGAUGUGAAAGCCUUCGGCUCAACCGGAGAAUUGCAUCAGAAACUGUUGAACUUGAGUGCAGAAGAGGAGAGUGGAACUCCAUGUGUAGCGGUGGAAUGCGUAGAUAUAUGGAAGAACACCAGUGGCGAAGGCGGCUCUCUGGUCUGCAACUGACGCUGAGGCUCGAAAGCAUGGGUAGCGAACAGGAUUAGAUACCCUGGUAGUCCAUGCCGUAAACGAUGAGUGCUAAGUGUUGGGAGGUUUCCGCCUCUCAGUGCUGCAGCUAACGCAUUAAGCACUCCGCCUGGGGA